GUUUGUUCCAAAUGCCGAGCAGUGGAGUACUACUUUAAGUUGGAGAACCUUCUCAGAGUGUUGUUUGCCACAGAAGAAAGUGAAGUGGAGUUCUACAGUUUUCCUUGCCAUGGUUUGCCCCAUAUCACUUUCCAGCAGUGCCGUCCUGAUCAUUACAGACAGGAUUACAGUGAAAGAUGACACCAGUAUACAGAAAACCCCAUACACAAUAGCUUCCUCUCCUUAUAGAAUGACCUCUGCACAGGUCCGUUGCAGGUUAUUUAUUUAUUUUUAUUACAAAAUGCAGCAUUUGUUCUUAUGUCAUUUUUCCUCCCUUAUACAUUUUAAGCAUUUUUGCAGUAAAGAAAAAAUAACUAUAAAGAAUCAAUGAAAACAAGGAUAUAACCAUAAUGUGCUAAAGAAAAUUACAAAUAAUACCAAAAACUUAAGCACACAACCGAAAUAGAUAAAACUCCCCUGAAACGCGUCUGUGAUACCCACCCAAUCUACUAAACUACCAUUGCCACCCAACUGCUUCUGCAAAUUCUUAGGAUCAGCUCCUUGCAAAUGCAACCCAGGUCCACCUCAUGGUGUGUUUACGUGCCUAACUUCUGCACGAGGAUAGCUCUCUGAUCAGGUUUGCCAGCAAUACUUGUGCUACUCAACUACCAUCAUCCUGAGCCGGACGCCGGUCCGUGCCACAGAGCAGCAAAGGGAGCCGGCACCUGCACGCUGUACAACACAAACAGCGCUUCUCACUAUUAUCUUCUCACAGCUACGAUCUUCGCUUCACUCAUACACAGCUACAAUCUCCACUUUGGGACCACAGAUAAAAGACAUAUUUAGGCCGGGAGCAGCCCGUGCCAACCUGUGUGGCAUAACUAUUACAGAUGAGUAGUUUGUCAUAACAAUUUACUUUUCAGCUGGAUUUAUUGCUAUCUCCAAUAACUUGUGCCGUAGUGCUAACAGACUGCCAUAAACUAUUCCAAAUAAGCAAAAUAUAAGAUACUAUUUUUCCUUCAAAGAGGCCCUUAUAUUGUAAAUAUACCGGUUUUAACAACAUAUAUAUAUCCUAUGUCACAAUCCGAGUUCCAGAAUUACCAUUUGGAUUUAAGUUCAGUAAGGCGGCAGAUUGCAUUCACUAAAGAGCAUACAGAUUGCAUUUUAUUAUAUGUUUUAUUGUGAUAUUAACCAUCUGAAUCUGUAGCAAGGGCCCUGCUCAGAUUCUAGUCUUCUAUGCCUAUUUUAUAACUCUAUUUAAUUAUUUCUAAUAAAGUAUCAGUUUAUUGACAGAGAACCAGCUACAUCCUAAUUUUUUCUUAAAAAAAUGUGUAACAUUUUUUAAACCCUGUAUUCACAACAAUUUAAUUCCUUUCCACCUUCUUUCCUUUUCUUUUCCAUUCUUUUUCUCUUUCCCUCCCUUCUCUCUUUUCUCUUUCCCUCCUGUUUUGUUGCUUUUUUACGUUAUAUGUAACAGUAGGGCAUGCAGACUUAUAUCUCACUGCCAGUCAUGACACAAAAUAGGACUGACCCAUAGCUUGCCUUGCUGGCAGUGGAUGAUAAUAUGAUUACACAUGCGCUUUGUAGCUUGUUCUGUUGACUUACUAUACCCUUGUGCAUGCGUUGCAUAUUGCCUAUCCAGUUUGUAUGUUUUUU